rnacentral:rRNA from 1 species
GCUCACUGGUCGAGUCGGCCUGCGCGGAAGAUGUAACGGGGCUAAACCAUGCACCGAAGCUGCGGCAGCGACGCUUAUGCGUUGUUGGGUAGGGGAGCGUUCUGUAAGCCUGUGAAGGUGUGCUGUGAGGCAUGCUGGAGGUAUCAGAAGUGCGAAUGCUGACAUAAGUAACGAUAAAGCGGGUGAAAAGCCCGCUCGCCGGAAGACCAAGGGUUCCUGUCCAACGUUAAUCGGGGCAGGGUGAGUCGACCCCUAAGGCGAGGCCGAAAGGCGUAGUCGAUGGGAAACAGGUUAAUAUUCCUGUACUUGGUGUUACUGCGAAGGGGGGACGGAGAAGGCUAUGUUGGCCGGGCGACGGUUGUCCCGGUUUAAGCGUGUAGGCUGGUUUUCCAGGCAAAUCCGGAAAAUCAAGGCUGAGGCGUGAUGACGAGGCACUACGGUGCUGAAGCAACAAAUGCCCUGCUUCCAGGAAAAGCCUCUAAGCAUCAGGUAACAUCAAAUCGUACCCCAAACCGACACAGGUGGUCAGGUAGAGAAUACCAAGGCGCUUGAGAGAACUCGGGUGAAGGAACUAGGCAAAAUGGUGCCGUAACUUCGGGAGAAGGCACGCUGAUAUGUAGGUGAAGUCCCUCGCGGAUGGAGCUGAAAUCAGUCGAAGAUACCAGCUGGCUGCAACUGUUUAUUAAAAACACAGCACUGUGCAAACACGAAAGUGGACGUAUACGGUGUGACGCCUGCCCGGUGCCGGAAGGUUAAUUGAUGGGGUCAGCGCAAGCGAAGCUCUUGAUCGAAGCCCCGGUAAACGGCGGCCGUAACUAUAACGGUCCUAAGGUAGCGAAAUUCCUUGUCGGGUAAGUUCCGACCUGCACGAAUGGCGUAAUGAUGGCCAGGCUGUCUCCACCCGAGACUCAGUGAAAUUGAACUCGCUGUGAAGAUGCAGUGUACCCGCGGCAAGACGGAAAGACCCCGUGAACCUUUACUAUAGCUUGACACUGAACAUUGAGCCUUGAUGUGUAGGAUAGGUGGGAGGCUUAGAAGUGUGGACGCCAGUCUGCAUGGAGCCGACCUUGAAAUACCACCCUUUAAUGUUUGAUGUUCUAACGUUGACCCGUAAUCCGGGUUGCGGACAGUGUCUGGUGGGUAGUUUGACUGGGGCGGUCUCCUCCUAAAGAGUAACGGAGGAGCACGAAGGUUGGCUAAUCCUGGUCGGACAUCAGGAGGUUAGUGCAAUGGCAUAAGCCAGCUUGACUGCGAGCGUGACGGCGCGAGCAGGUGCGAAAGCAGGUCAUAGUGAUCCGGUGGUUCUGAAUGGAAGGGCCAUCGCUCAACGGAUAAAAGGUACUCCGGGGAUAACAGGCUGAUACCGCCCAAGAGUUCAUAUCGACGGCGGUGUUUGGCACCUCGAUGUCGGCUCAUCACAUCCUGGGGCUGAAGUAGGUCCCAAGGGUAUGGCUGUUCGCCAUUUAAAGUGGUACGCGAGCUGGGUUUAGAACGUCGUGAGACAGUUCGGUCCCUAUCUGCCGUGGGCGCUGGAGAACUGAGGGGGGCUGCUCCUAGUACGAGAGGACCGGAGUGGACGCAUCACUGGUGUUCGGGUUGUCAUGCCAAUGGCACUGCCCGGUAGCUAAAUGCGGAAGAGAUAAGUGCUGAAAGCAUCUAAGCACGAAACUUGCC